UAAGGAAUAUUGGUCAAUGGACGCAAGUCUGAACCAGCCAUGCCGCGUGAAGGAUGAAGGUCCUCUGGAUUGUAACUUCUUUUAUCUGGGACGGAAACGGGAUUUUUAUCUCAAUUGACGGUACCAGAGGAAUAAGCACCGGCUAACUCCGUGCCAGCAGCCGCGGUAAUACGGAGGGUGCGAGCGUUAUCCGGAUUUACUGGGUUUAAAGGGUGCGUAGGUGGGCUUAUAAGUCAGUGGUGAAAUCUCCGAGCUUAACUUGGAAACUGCCGUUGAUACUAUAGGUCUUGAAUUAUCUGGAGGAAAGCGGAAUAUGUCAUGUAGCGGUGAAAUGCUUAGAUAUGACAUAGAACACCAAUUGCGAAGGCAGCUUACUACAUAUAAAUUGACGCUGAGGCACGAAAGCGUGGGGAUCAAAC
rnacentral:rRNA from 1 species